UGAAUUCUUGGCAAAAUACAGGACUG
rnacentral:piRNA from 1 species